rnacentral:tmRNA from 1 species
GGGGCUGUACUGGUUUCGAUAGGGGUCAGUCUGGUGCGGACCACAGUCGUGUGGCUACGUAAAGGCCGCUUAAAAAUAACUGGAAACAAUUUCAGAACUGCGAAUAAUUUCGCAUUUGCUGCUUAAUUAACCGAUAGCGGUUUGCAGCCUCCUUAUGCGUUUUGCUCUUGGGCGCGUAAGUUGAGACAGGAUACGGGAGCCAGGCACAUGCGGAUGCUGUCCGGACGCAUGUGAUGGAAAUUUACGGGCAGAACGUCACAGAUGUUCGUCCAUCGCGUUCUGUGAUCUGAUGAGGAUGGACUAAACUGUAAACGUUCGUACGGGGGACGGCUUUUAGACAGGGGUUCGACUCCCCUCAGCUCCACCA